rnacentral:rRNA from 1 species
GAUGAACGCUGGCGGCGUGCCUAACACAUGCAAGUCGAGCGAUCCUCUUCGGAGAAGAGCGGCGGACGGGUGAGUAACGCGUGGGUAACCUGCCCUGUACACACGGAUAACAUACCGAAAGGUAUGCUAAUACGAGAUAAUAUGCUUUUAUCGCAUGGUAGAAGUAUCAAAGCUCCGGCGGUACAGGAUGGACCCGCGUCUGAUUAGCUAGUUGGUAAGGUAACGGCCUACCAAGGCGACGAUCAGUAGCCGAUCUGAGAGGGUGAUCGGCCACAUUGGAACUGAGACACGGUCCAAACUCCUACGGGAGGCAGCAGUGGGGAAUAUUGCACAAUGGGCGAAAGCCUGAUGCAGCAACGCCGCGUGAGCGAUGAAGGCCUUCGGGUCGUAAAGCUCUGUCCUCAAGGAAGAUAAUGACGGUACUUGAGGAGGAAGCCCCGGCUAACUACGUGCCAGCCGCCGCGGUAA